GUUCCUGUAAAUGUUGGAGCCAAGAGCUGGAGUCAGCGCCUUGAACCUGGGAGAGGCCAGGAGGCCAAGGAGCCUCAAGCACUGUGGAGGAGGAAGCCUGAAAUGAAAAGGAAUAGGCUCCUGCAAUUACAGAGGCUGAGAAGUCCCAAGAUCCACAGGUGACAAGCUGGAGACCCAGGAGAGCUGAUAGUCCUGCAGGUGUAAAAGGGC